UACGAAGGGGGCUAGCGUUGCUCGGAAUCACUGGGCGUAAAGGGCUCGUAGGUGGCCAACUAAGUCAGACGUGAAAUCCCUCAGCUUAACUGGGGAACUGCGUCUGAUACUGGAUGGCUUGAGAUUGGGAGAGGGAUGCGGAAUUCCAGGUGUAGCGGUGAAAUGCGUAGAUAUCUGGAGGAACACCGGUGGCGAAGGCGGCAUCCUGGACCAACAUUGACGCUGAGGAGCGAAAGCUAGGGGAGCAAACGGG
rnacentral:rRNA from 1 species